UGAAAACUCAAACCUAAAUCCCUCCAUAGCCGCAUACCCUUUCCAAACUUUCCAUACCCUUCUUCAACAAUUGGCUUCUCUUUUCACUUGAUAAAAGCAAAAUCAAUCGAAGCCCUAGAUUGCCCAACGGCCGCUAGCUCGUGAGAAUUUAUGGGUUUAAGUCUCGAAAAGUGAACAAUGAAAAAGAUAAAAAAUGGAGCAAGAGAGAAUCCAUCGCUUUUAUAUUCAAAGAGCUAUAGUUUGUCGAUUGCAACAACAAAGCGAUGUUAUGGGGAGAAGAUCUUUUUAAGAAGUUUAAAAAGUCUACAGGCAGAUUUGUGGAAUGAGAGCAUAUGAGUGACAAACUAAGACAGAUGUUGAUCAAGCUAAGGUGCGGUUGAAGACCAUGGAAAGAGAGAAAGGGGAAGACUAUACAGCUUUGGACUCAAACAAGAUUGUGUCAUACAAAAAUUGUGUAUUAUUACUAUAUUGAAAUUGAAAAAUACAACUAUCAGUUUUUUUUUUUUUAGAUCAAGUACAAUUAUCUGUAACUUGAAACGUGU